UGCCAGCCGCCGCGGUAAUACAGAGGUCCCAAGCGUUGUUCGGAUUUACUGGGCGUAAAGGGUGCGUAGGUGGUCGGGUAAGUCUCAUGUGAAAUCUCCAAGCUCAACUUGGAAAUGGCAUGGGAUACUAUUCGGCUAGAGGAUUGGAGGGGGGACUGGAAUUCCCGGUGUAGCAGUGAAAUGCGUAGAUAUCGGGAGGAACACCAGUGGCGAAGGCGAGUCCCUGGACAAUACCUGACGCUGAGGCACGAAAGCUAGGGGAGCAAACAGGAUUAGAUA
rnacentral:rRNA from 1 species